AAGUUAUUUAAUUCUGGUAAUGAAAGAGUGAAAAGUAUUAUUACAUAAAGUUGUUAGUAUCCGUUUAGGUGGGGGUUUUUAAACCUGCUUGUUAGUAAUUAGAUCUUAGGUGUUUGAGGUAACUCAGAUUGGGAUACUUUUUGUAGGUGGAGAAUACUCAGUGCCAGCAUCCGCGGUUAUUCUGUUUAGCCUGUCUCUUUGUUUUAGUUUAAAUGUUUCAUUUAAUAAUUUGAUGAAUUUAGGUGGAAUUUUUUCUUUUUAGAAAUUAUUUAUUGAUUGUAAGGAGAGUUAUAGGUAGAAAAGGAUUAGAGACCCUUGUAUAGAAUUGUGGAAUUUGUUGCUUUAGUUGAAACUAAAAGAAUUUGGCAGCUGAUGAAGUUCGUCCGGGGGAGUGUGUUUGGUAAAAGAUAGUCCGCUUAGUAGUUUACCUCUUUAUAUGGUUAGUGUAUAUCCGGUUAAAGAUCCGUAAUUAGUGUUACGGGUGUAGGUAGUUGGAUACUUAAUCCAGGUCUUUGUGCUGCUGAUGAAGGGGGUAGUUAAUGCGCUACGUUAUUAAAAGAUUUUAAUGUAAAUUUUGAGAUGUAUUUAGGACUCGGUAGUAGGUAGGGUUUAGUAUGCCUUUUCGAAGAGGAUUUAGUUGGGGUACACACCGCCCGUCACUCAGGGCGUCAGCUCUGAUAAGUCGUAACAUGGUAACGUUGGGGGAACCGGACGUUAGUAAAUUCAUUGUAUAUUAAGUGAGUUU
rnacentral:ncRNA from 1 species